CAACUACUCCCUCUGUCCCAAAUUUCUUGUCUUAGAUUUGUCUAGAUACGGAUGUAUCUAAUACUAAAAUGUGACUUGAUACAUCCGUAUCUAGACAAAUGUAAGACCAGAAUUUUGGGACGGAGGGAGUACUUU
rnacentral:pre_miRNA from 1 species